rnacentral:rRNA from 1 species
GUGAAAAUGAAUAUUGUUUAUUUGAAACAAUAAGGAUCCCAUUAGAACUUCGAAGUCAAACGUACGUGAGUGGAGUAAUACAUAGAUGGGUGACCUCCUUUGAAGUUUUUGUCUUGCACC